CAGCACUUCAAUGUCCUUCUUGAAGGUGUGGCCUCACCAGCACCCAGUAAAGGGAAACAGUCAUUACAAACUGAUUCUAUUGAUUGUACUGUAUUAUUGAUUGUAGUACAGACAUCUCAUCCCAAAACAUUCAAUCUGACUGCAAUUCUGGGAACUUCUACGCCUUUAUAACUCUAACAUUUGAACUGCUUCGGCUGAGGAGAAAUAGCAGAUCUGAAACAGUAUGGAACGUUUUCCCUGGCCUGGCUGACACAGAGUUUCACUGGAAACAUAGCAGGAAAAUUUGGGUUUGAGCUGUUUCUAGGCCAAAGAUGUCUGGGCAAGCAUCCAGUUUAUUCCAAGCCCACCUUGAUUUUUACCUUCAUGCAAGCAAACCAGUGCCAUUCUCUUGAUGGACCAGACACAGGAGCUCCACAUAUGUGUGAGAACAGAGUGGCAUUUUACAGCUGGGAUGCCUUGAAGAAGUGAACCCACUGACAAGGGAAGAAGAAGCAAAGGAUCUGCUAACAGAGCAGAUUUAAAUAGCCUGUCUUUGACUAAGAGGAAAGCUGUGUCUCCCUACUUCCUUGUUUUUAUUAGGCAUAUGUCUAACUAAAUUGAUCCAUUCCACAGCUCUCUUUCUGGGUGUGAAACAAUGGGAUUUCCUUACUUCACAGGGAUGUUUCAAUAUAUAGGAUAUUGGAAAGCAUGAAAUUCUCAGCAUAAUUAAGUUCACUUACAUAGGUACCGAUGGUGUGAAUUUGCAAGAAAUUAAUUUCUGCUAAAACUGGGAGCAAGGAUUUGUGCUGCUUGGCACAUCAUGCUCCUGAGUACUACUGAGGAAGAAAUACUGAGCAUUAUUAAAUUUCAUCCGUCAUUAAUAUAUAAUGAUAAGUAUUUCUCAGAUGAUUCUGUUCACUGAGUAAACCGAGUGGAUCCUUUACAUUAACUUAAAUUAGCAGAAGAGGGUUGUUAUAGUGCCAAAGAACUACUUAAAUGCAAUUUAUUCUUUUACUGGAACAAAAUAAGUAACUAGUCCUCUUAUCCUUUUAAUCAGCAGAGGGCAGAGCAUGUCUUGCAAAGCACCAAAGAGAACUAAGACUCAACAAAAUUGCUUGAAUAUUGCAGCAUUCAGGAUUUGUUAUUAUUGUGGAUUUAAGUUUUACUUUUAUUUUUUCUUUUGAUUUUCAACAUUGUUUUUUAUUACUAAAAUCACAAUCUUAUUAUGAUUCAAUACUGAAUGAACACUCCUGCAUGUGUUUAAAAGGCUUGAUAUUCAUUAAAUGAAGGAGGAAAAUUGCCAUUAAUAGUACCAAUGAUUUAGCUGAAGAAGUAUUGAUCAGACUAUAUGCUAAACAGUAAUUAAGCUCAAGUGAUUAUUUAAUUACUGAGUUAAUUUUGAUUGUCUUUUUCCUUAUCAGCUGGAACUAAUUUAAGGUUUUGUUGAAUUAUAUUAUUCAGAAGAAAUUUAAACAGAAAUCCAUACGACUAAACCUUUUAAAGAAAAACAAAUCAACAUAUAACUUAAAAUAAAU
rnacentral:lncRNA from 1 species